rnacentral:lncRNA from 1 species
GUUAUAAACUAGUCAAUUUGGGUUAAAUGAUUUGCUCAGGGUCACACAAGAAGGAAGUGUCUGAGGUCAUAUUUGAACCCAGAACCUCCCAUCUUUGGUCCUGGCUCUGAACCCACUAAGUGACCUAACUGCUCCCUGUCAUUGUUUUCAGUUAAUUUUUGACUCAGUAUCCCCAUUUGUUUCAGCCUCUGCUCACAGAAACAUAGCAUUGAAAUUUAUGCGUUUCCUUCCCAGAGGCAGGCACGGUGUAAAGGACAGACGACGGAAGCCAGGGCUUUUCCCAGGGACUAGGAACACGGCCAACUGUUGGCAAUUUUGCUGGAAAUUCGCAUCAAAAUUAUGUAGCCAGUGUUUGAGAUGAAAAAA